AUUUAAAUAGCUUAAGUUUAGAGUAUAAUAUUGAAGAUAUUAGGGUGAUUAAUUAAUCUUUAGUUA
rnacentral:tRNA from 1 species